GACGAACGCUGGCGGCGUGCCUAAUACAUGCAAGUAGAACGCUGAAGAGAGGAGCUUGCUCUUCUUGGAUGAGUUGCGAACGGGUGAGUAACGCGUAGGUAACCUGCCUGGUAGCGGGGGAUAACUAUUGGAAACGAUAGCUAAUACCGCAUGAAAUUGCUUCUCGCAUGAUAAUUAAUUGAAAGAUGCAAUUGCAUCACUACCAGAUGGACCUGCGUUGUAUUAGCUAGUUGGUGAGGUAACGGCUCACCAAGGCGACGAUACAUAGCCGACCUGAGAGGGUGAUCGGCCACACUGGGACUGAGACACGGCCCAGACUCCUACGGGAGGCAGCAGUAGGGAAUCUUCGGCAAUGGGGGGAACCCUGACCGAGCAACGCCGCGUGAGUGAAGAAGGUUUUCGGAUCGUAAAGCUCUGUUGUAAGAGAAGAACGGGUGUGAGAGUGGAAAGUUCACACUGUGACGGUAUCUUACCAGAAAGGGACGGCUAACUACGUGC
rnacentral:rRNA from 1 species